rnacentral:rRNA from 1 species
GACGAACGCUGGCGGCGUGCUUAACACAUGCCAGUCGAACGCUGAAGCCCUGGCUUUUGUUGGGUUGGAUGAGUGGCGAACGGGUGAGUAACACGUGAGUAACCUGCCCUCUUCUUUGGGAUAACGCCCGGAAACGGGUGCUAAUACUGGAUAUUCACUGAUCUUCGCAUGGGGGUUGGUGGAAAGGUUUGUUCUGGUGGGGGAUGGGCUCGCGGCCUAUCAGCUUGUUGGUGGGGUGAUGGCCUACCAAGGCUUUGACGGGUAGCCGGCCUGAGAGGGUGACCGGUCACAUUGGGACUGAGAUACGGCCCAGACUCCUACGGGAGGCAGCAGUGGGGAAUAUUGCACAAUGGGCGAAAGCCGGAUGCAGCGACGCCGCGUGAGGGAUGGAGGCCUUCGGGUUGUAAACCUCUUUCGCUCAUGGUCAAGCCGCAACUGUGGGUUGUGGUGAGGGUAGUGGGUAAAGAAGCGCCGGCUAACUACGUG